GGGACCGAGCGGCGGACGGGUUAGUAACGCGUGGGAACAUACCCUUUUCUACGGAAUAGCCUCGGGAAACUGAGAGUAAUACCGUAUAAGCCCUUCGGGGGAAAGAUUUAUCGGGAAAGGAUUGGCCCGCGUUAGAUUAGAUAGUUGGUGGGGUAAUGGCCUACCAAGUCUACGAUCUAUAGCUGGUUUUAGAGGAUGAUCAGCAACACUGGGACUGAGACACGGCCCAGACUCCUACGGGAGGCAGCAGUGGGGAAUCUUAGACAAUGGGCGCAAGCCUGAUCUAGCCAUGCCGCGUGUGUGAUGAAGGUCUUAGGAUCGUAAAGCACUUUCGCCAGGGAUGAUAAUGACAGUACCUGGUAAAGAAACCCCGGCUAACUCCGUGCCAGCAGCCGCGGUAAUACGGAGGGGGUUAGCGUUGUUCGGAAUUACUGGGCGUAAAGCGUACGUAGGCGGAUCAGAAAGUAGGGGGUGAAAUCCCAGGGCUCAACCCUGGAACUGCCUCCUAAACUCCUGGUCUUGAGUUCGAGAGAGGUGAGUGGAAUUCCAAGUGUAGAGGUGAAAUUCGUAGAUAUUUGGAGGAACACCAGUGGCGAAGGCGGCUCACUGGCUCGAUACUGACGCUGAGGUACGAAAGUGUGGGGAGCAAACAGGAUUAGAUACCCUGGUAGUCCACACCGUAAACGAUGAAUGCCAGUCGUCGGGCAGUAUACUGUUCGGUGACACACCUAACGGAUUAAGCAUC
rnacentral:rRNA from 1 species